GCGGCGGCGACAGCCGGGGCAUGUCGGGCGCGCGGGGCGGUGGGCGCGUGGCCCCUCCCCUCGGCGAGCGCGCGGCAGCCGCAGCGGCGGCGGCCGCGGGAGGAGGCGGCGAGGAGGCGGCGCCUGUGUCGGCGCUGGAGGUUGUGUCCUUCCUGGGGAAGCUGCUGUGCGCAGUCGCGGCGCUGAAGGCGGCUCUGUACCUGCUCCGCAGAGUGUGCCUAGCGAUGGCCUGGAAGUCGGGCGGCGCCAGCCACUCCGAGCUCAUCCACAACCUCCGCAAAAAUGGAAUAAUCAAAACAGACAAGGUAUUUGAAGUAAUGCUGGCUACAGACCGUUGCCACUAUGCAAAAUACAACCCCUACAUGGACUCCCCCCAGUCUAUAGGUUUCCAAGCAACAAUCAGUGCUCCACACAUGCAUGCAUAUGCACUUGAACUUCUAUCUGAUCAGCUACAUGAAGGAGCCAAAGCACUUGAUGUAGGAUCUGGAAGUGGAAUUCUUACAGCAUGCUUUUCGCGAAUGGUUGGUCCCAAAGGACAAGUUGUAGGAAUUGAUCAUAUCAAAGAACUAGUAGAUGACUCAAUAAAUAAUGUCAAAAAAGACGAUCCCACAUUGCUGUCUUCAGGAAGAGUGAAACUAAUUGUGGGAGAUGGACGAAUGGGAUAUGCAGAAGAAGCUCCCUAUGAUGCAAUCCAUGUUGGAGCUGCAGCCCCAGUUGUGCCCCAAGCACUUAUAGACCAGUUAAAACCUGGCGGAAGAUUGAUAUUACCAGUUGGCCCUGCUGGGGGAAACCAGAUGCUCGAACAGUAUGACAAACUAGAAGAUGGCAGUGUCAAAAUGAAGCCUCUGAUGGGAGUGAUAUAUGUGCCUUUAACAGAUAAAGAGAAGCAGUGGUCCAGGUGGAAGUGAUUUUCUGUUCCACUUACUUCUUCCACACACAUGCAAGGUGAAAGGGUGUGAAUUUUAAGCAGAUAGACUGCAAGGCCUGCCUUUGCUGCUGUCAUUGCUUUUUGUUCCUCCAUACCAUGAAAAGUGACUCAGUCUGCAUUACUACAUCACCCAAAGGAGGUUAUGCUAUUUUUGAGUUAAAUUAAAAGCAGAAGAAAAAUAUUGCAUGGGUUGCACUUUGUCUUUUUUGGACAUAUUUUCUUUAGUCUUUGGUGUUUUGAAGAUUCUUAUUUGCUGUUUUAAAUACAGUAUUUUCUAAGGUUAAACUUCACUUUUAAUGAAUUUUUUAUAACUAUUUAGCCCAAUAAUUAGGGUGAAGUGUAAAAUUUUCCUUAAUAAAUACUGUUUUGUCCUUUAAGUUAGUGGUAAUUGGGUGUUCAUUUUUUAUUUUUCUGAAACACUACAAAUGAAGAAAAAUCUUUGUAAAAUCCUUUGUGACAAAUGUAGGUGAUCUUGCAAGCACUUUUCCUUUUUAGCCUCCAAGUAGCAAAAAGUAGAAAAGAUAAUUCCUUCUUCCCUAAAGUAUAAAUGUAGUUGAGUAGUGUUUAGAAGAUUUUCCCAGACAUGUUAUUAGAAGUCUGUUAUCUGUCUCUGAUGGGGCAGUAUUUGUGUUUGCCAAUACAGCAAAUUCUAAAUGCCUUUCUAGAAGUAGGAAACCUUCCAGUUUGCUGAAUUGAACAGCCAGUAAUAAAUGAAUAAAUAAAUAGACUUAAUGCAGCUGUCAGCUUAAGCCAUGCUAGUAUGUGAAUGAACAAAGCAGCAGCGCUGUUUUGCUUCCUGGCAGAAAGUGCUUGUGAAUGUAUUAUUGGCAUUAGUGAAGUGCAGAGAUGUGCACUGAGCUCUGAAAACAACUCUUGAGUUUUAUAACCUAAAUUUAGAUUUUUGGCUUUUUUCCCCUUGAUAUUUUAGAGUAUAGUUUGUGAUUUGAAUACACAAAUACUCAGUCUAACCUAUCAAAAUAUUCCUAAAAAGUACAAACAAAGCAGUUUGCAUACUGUUGCUUAGCGAAACCUCAUUUCACUGUUUCUUGGAUUACUAUAUAGCCACCACGUACAAAUUGCUCUUAAAACAACUUCAGUGAGGUACUGCUUAGUUCAAAGCUUGUGUGCUUGUUAUUCAAAUGUUUUGUAUUUGUUAUGCAAAUGAAUGCUUUAGCCUUGAAUAUUGCCAGUAUUCCCUCACUGUGGUACUCGGGGAUUUCCUGCCUCUUGUAAGGCUUUGGAAGCUUUCCUUUGUGGUCGGUUUCCUCCUCUGGCGAAUGUUUAAUUUAAGUUUGGAAUCCAUGCUUCACUUGCUCUAAAAAAGAGUAGUUGUCUUCUUAAACCUUCCUUCUCUCAUAGACUUUUCAUAGAUUUUUUUCUAUUUCCACCUGAUCUGAUUAUAGUAGCAAUUGGGAUUUUUUUGGUAUCCCAAAAAAAGGAUAGCAGUGUGUGUUCAUAAAACACUUUAAGAAGGGUUUCUUGAAUGACAGUGUUUAUCCCUUGCUCCAAGUGAAGCUGGGGUACUGUGUUAAGGACUAGAAUUCAGAGUUUUUUGCAUCUCUUCAGUGCAGUUUGGUAUUUCAUUUUGUAUUUUAGCUUGGAGAGAGCGAAUAGUUUGUCUUUGGGCCUUCUUCAGUCAUGCAUACUGUAGGAUUAUUUUCCUCAGAAAUUCGUACCAGUUUCUGUGCUCUUCUGAAACACUUCUUGAUUUUAUUAAUUUAUUUUUAUUUAAGAAUUUACAGUGGUGUUAUCAGAAAAUAUAAGUGCUUAGCCUGAAGGGUUCAUCUGCAACAGCAUAGAGGCUCUAUCUUGCUAUGCGCAUUUAAAUUUCGUUCAGUCUUGGAACUCUCUGUUAAAGAAAAUCUCAGAAGUCCUCUUCUUGUAACAUUUGCUAUUUCUUUAAUUGUCCUUUUUGUGCUUUGAAGAAAAUUCCCACUCCAUUUUCUAGGAUAACUGUCAGUGUACUGCUGACCUUACAGGAGGUCACAUCUUUUUCUUUUCUUUGUUUUUCCUUGUUGGUGGCUAUGAAGUAUAUGGUAAGGCAGCUGCUAAGGAAAUUCCUAAUUAUAAGUCAGCAUUUGCUAUCUAUGCUGUCAUCAAAGAUGAAAGAGCUGGUUUUUCUUCAUUUCCUAGAUUUUAUUUUUUCUUUUCUAAAUUGCUCAAGAUCUGUGAGCAGAGUUCAUUUAGAGACUCCUCUGAAAAAGCAUCUCUAAGUGUUUCUGUAAUAAAAAUCUGUAGUGUAUGGGAGACUAGUUGAUGUAAAUCUCAAAUUCAUUAAACAACAAUCAUUUUAAGAUUAGCUCAAUUCUGUGUGUUUAGUUUGUUAUUUAGUUUAUAUUAUGUGAUUUCAUUCCUAAUGUAGGUAACUCUUUCAUCACAUUGAAUGAAGAACGGGUGUCCCUUCACAGAAUAGAAUUGAUAGGCCAGCAUCAUUUUCCUAGGGUAGCACACCCUCCAGCUGGCAGGAAAGAAGCUGUUAAAUUUUUGCUGAGCCAUUCACAUUUUGCAAUGUUCUUUAACAGGGCUGUAAGGUGCUUUUGCAAAGGAGCACAACACUCUUAAGUGGUGUUUGAAGUCAACCUCAUCUUCAGGGAUGAAUUGUAAAAUCUACAUCAUCUUGACCCAAACAUAGUGUUACAGUGGACUGCUCAUCUCCCGUUCUAAAAGCUUUUUGAAAACCAACAGCAUUGCAGCUUGUUUUGGACUUCGUUAUACUGUUGUUAUCAGCAUGGAAAAGCGUGGUGUUUGUUUUAUUUUCUUAGAUGCUCAAGGCAAAUCUGAUAAAGAAAAGGUGGAAAGUUUUAUGUGGGCAUUGUUUUAUUUAACAUGCCUUUAUUUCACUUUCAUCUGUUCAAAGUGAAUUUCUGCAAAACUGCAGAUAAAGACCUGUAGCUUGUGAACUCUAAUGUUGAUGGGGGAACUUGAACACUCACUUCUCUCUGCUCCUGUGUCCCUUGGUAAAACUGCUUCUGUGCACCUUACGACACUACGUAGGUAAUACCAGGUUUUCUGUGUUCCAAUGUCUGCUAGAUGCUACUAAAAGGAGAUGAACUUUCUUUCUAAGCUUUUGACAUGGUGUCAUAGACUAGCAUGUAGUAGAUACAAUCAGCUGCUUUUUUACCUUAAAACCAGGCAUUUGUAUAUAUUAAAUUUCAAGACAUCAGAUGUAGGUGGCCACUCUUAUCAAACAUUGCUGUUCAAGCUGGACAUAACAGACAUGGUUUUCCCUUUCCUUCUAAAAUUGAUUGAUGUAAUCUUGAAAUUCUGUUGUGGUUUAUAGCUCAGAGCUGGUGUGAUACACAUGGAGCUAACUCCAUAAAUGUGAGGUGAGGUGUAUUCCAAUCACUGAACAAUUUAUGCAAUGCUGCUUUGCCAAAUAAAGUUAAAAGCAAAAGGGGGCUUUUGUGCUUGUGUGGAAGAUUAGGAUGGGUAGAUAGACUGAUAUAUGGAUUGCUAGAUUCUUUAUUAAAAGCCAAAAACCCUUUGGUUCUAAAAGAAAGUUGCUUUUGGUAAAGCUAUUUGCUGUAUUAACAUUCUUGGUUUUAUAACUGUGGGCACCCAGGAAAAAUUCUGGCUUUUUAGAAAGUGAAUUCUAAAUUGCUGUAAAAGGAAUGCAUCGGAAAGAAUCCUGGACUCCUAAGUACACAUAGAUGCACUUGUUCAGUUUUCAUACAGAAGAAUUGUUGGAAGGCUAUUAACCUUUUUUUCUGAUAUAAGUUUUGUGUUCUGUUGGUGCUGUAAAAUGCCGACAGCAAAUUGCGAAGCAGUACACGUGGGCUGCUUUAGGAAAGGGGGGAAGUGUGUCUUCAGUCAUCUUGCUCAUAUUUGAGCAACCUGGAAUUCAAGUAAGCAGCAUAUUAUCCUUGUUUUUUUAUGAUAGGAAGGAUUAUAGAAUAAAACAACCUACAGUGAUCUCUGGAAAAAAACCCAAAACAACUUCCUAUGGUGGAAGAGCAAUAAUUUUGUGAUAGGAUUAAUCCCUGAAAGCAUAAAGGUUAUAAUUCAAAGGCCUCUGAAUAUGGAAAAGGAACAUUUUAAAUAACCUGCCUUUUGAAGGCCAGCCACAUUUUGUUCCUCUGUGAAAGAUACCAUUAGACUUAAUUUAUUUAGAUGUUUGGAAGUUAAUGUACCACCUCCUGAUUUGACUGCAGCCUGGGAGCACAUGCACAAGAUAAUUCUUAUAAAGAAAUUAAUAUAGUACAUAUUCUAGAAAAUACAAUCCAGAAAAAUCCACUUGCGUCUGACAAAUUUGUACUAACCCACAAUCAACUGUGACUCUAGUUCUUGGUGUUGAAGUGAAAUAACUGAUGCAUGCUAACGUUCAACCUUUUGGUCGCUGUAUCUUUCAGUUUGAGUUCAGCUUUAUUUACAUCUUCUCACUAAUUUAAUCAUUUAAAUGAAAGAUAUGAGCUCAACUGUAUCCAAAUUCCUGUCUCUGGACACAGUGUAAUAAGCUAGCCUGACUUGGAAGUGGUGUUACAGCUGAGACCCGAUGACAACUUCCUGGGGGAGAACCACUUCAGGAGGUGUAAGGCCUCAGGGACCAAGGCUGGUGGGAAUAGUGCACCCAUUCCACUGAAGGGGCUGAUGACAGUCAAGGUACUCGGACAGAAAGAAGUAUCCAGGAGUAGCAUUUAGGAGUCGAAAAUGGAAACUCCUCCAUGAUGGAGCAAUGAUUCUGAAGUAAAAUCUGAGAGACGAGGACAAGUUGAAAUGCAGAAGACUUGAAGAGCUUGAAUAAAUGCUGUGUGAACUGUCUGAAUUGCUACUUUGCCAAAUAAAACAAUUUGAGAGGAAGCUGUA